rnacentral:rRNA from 1 species
GACGAACGCUGGCGGCGUGCCUAAUACAUGCAAGUAGAACGCACAGUUUAUACCGUAGCUUGCUACACCAUAGACUGUGAGUUGCGAACGGGUGAGUAACGCGUAGGUAACCUGCCUGGUAGCGGGGGAUAACUAUUGGAAACGAUAGCUAAUACCGCAUAAUAUUAAUUAUUGCAUGAUAAUUAAUUGAAAGGUGCAAUUGUACCACUACCAGAUGGACCUGCGUUGUAUUAGCUAGUAGGUGAGGUAACGGCUCACCUAGGCGACGAUACAUAGCCGACCUGAGAGGGUGAUCGGCCACACUGGGACUGAGACACGGCCCAGACUCCUACGGGGGGCAGCAGUAGGGAAUCUUCGGCAAUGGACGAAAGUCUGACCGAGCAACGCCGCGUGAGUGAAGAAGGUUUUCGGAUCGUAAAGCUCUGUUGUAAGGGAAGAACGGGUGUGGGAGUGGAAAGUUCACACUGUGACGGUAUCUUACCAGAAAGGGACGGCUAACUACGUG